rnacentral:rRNA from 1 species
CCUACGGGUGGCAGCAGUGAGGAAUAUUGGUCAAUGGACGAGAUUCUGAACCAGCCAAGUAGCGUGAAGGAUGACUGCCCUAUGGGUUGUAAACUUCUUUUAUAAAGGAAUAAAACGAGGCACGUGUGCCUUUUUGCAUGUACUUUAUGAGUAAGGAACGGCUAGCUCCGUGCCAGCAGCCGCGGUAAUACGGAGGGUCCGAGCGUUAUCCGGAUUUAUUGGGUUUAAAGUGAGCGUAGACGGGUUGUUAAGUCAGUUGUGAAAGCUUGAGGCUCAACCGUAAAAUUGCAAUUGAUACUGGCAGUCUUGAGUAUAGUUGAGGUAGGCGGAAUUCGUGGUGUAGCGGUGAAAUGCUUAGAUAUCACGAAGAACACCGAUUGCGAAGGCAGCCUACUAAACUGUGACUGACAUUGAUGCUCGAAAGUGUGGGUAUCAAACAGGAUUAGAUACCCCUGUAGUC